CUACGGGUGGCAGCAGUGGGGAAUAUUGCACAAUGGAGGAAACUCUGAUGCAGCAACGCCGCGUGGAGGAUGACACUUUUCGGAGCGUAAACUCCUUUUAUAUAGGAAGAAGAUGACGGUACUAUAUGAAUAAGCGCCGGCUAACUCCGUGCCAGCAGCCGCGGUAAUACGGAGGGCGCAAGCGUUACUGGAAUCACUGGGCGUAAAGAGCGUGUAGGCGGAUUAACAAGUCAGAAGUGAAAUCCUAUAGCUUAACUAUAGAACGGCUUCUGAAACUCUUAAUCUAGAAUAUGGGAGAGGUAGAUGGAAUUUCUGGUGUAGCGGUAAAAUCCGUAGAGAUCAGAAGGAAUACCGAUUGCGAAGGCGAUCUACUAGAACAUUAUUGACGCUGAGACGCGAAAGCGUGGGGAGCAAACAGGAUUAGAUACCCGAGUAGUC
rnacentral:rRNA from 1 species